GACUCACAUAGACUGCUCAACGUCCGACUAAGAGAGUUGCCUAUCUGAAGCCUAUCUGGGCAAGGGUGCAGCACGCAAUGAACUAGGCGGUUUCAUUUUGGCGUCUGAAAUGGAACCAACACUCGCCUGAUGAGGCAGUGUCAAACACCGUACACGGAACGACAUCUACUAUUAUAAUCGUUGCCGCAGCCGCAGGUGGCUGGCCGUAUAGAAUCUAAACGUGUGGCAGCCAAAGGUCGUAUCAUAAAUUAAACGCCUACUACUAUAUAAUUUGAAGGAGACUCAUCGACCGUUUACACUGGGAAAUCUCGAUAGUUUUGGCAUCGAAAUCACCUUCUACCAUGUGGGUCUGAAUAUCUGUACACUCACUCUCAGCGGUCUCCCGAUCGAGCUUCAUCCUAGAUAGGUGAGGUGACGGUUUCU
rnacentral:lncRNA from 1 species